rnacentral:lncRNA from 1 species
CGGAAUCAGCACCGGAAGUGCUGCCUGGAAGAAUCACUCUUGUCCCCCAAUGAAAGGUGACUCAGGCUGGGAUCGAUCGCAAGUCAGCGUGAUCAGCUCCGAGGUGACCCUGCUCAGCCUUGGGCCAGGCUCAGUCCCGAUCCCCACCAGGAGCCCCCAGAAGCCGGGCCAGGGAAACUGUGGCUGAACAAUGAGAAAUACACGAGUGGCUGCAUCUCCACCUUCAGAGCUGUUUGGAUACCAAAUGAGUUACUUCAAGCAGAGCAGAGCUUGGUCUACAGCAAGCUGUUGAUGUCAGUGGACCACAUCUCCACGAAUGCUGCGCUGCACAACAAGCAGAGGUUGGCAUCCUCCUUGGUAGUUAAGCUCCUGUGAUAUCGUGAAAUACAUAUGUGGUCUGCUUCCCUCCAAGAAUCCUCCAAAAUGCCUUUCUCUGCCCCAGGCCACACUUGCAGGGUGAUGCAGUGUCUCACACCCUCACAGAGGAGGUAGGACAACCCCCUCAUGUGCCACUGGAGCUGGUCUCGGUGAUGGGGACAUCAGGGCAGCCUCCUCUCAUGCCAGGCUGGUGUGAGUGGGUUUCUGGGCAUCUGCUGGUUGGGCUGAACCAGGUGCAGAUGGAGGGGAGGCUGUGCAGACAUAGGGAG